AUUCAUUUUCUGAGAAUCAGCUUUCUGGGCGUGUGCUUUUGAUGUUUGCAUUUGUGUCGUCUUGUGCUUGGAUAUUUAAAUCGGCAAGGCUUAAAAACAUGUGCAAAUGAUUAACUUUCAUGACAAUGGCCAGAUUUGAGGAUUGAAACAGUUCCAUCAGCUGUCCUGAACCACAGCAAUGUUCACUGGCAAUGAGCCAUUAGCCAGUCAUUAUUAGCUGCUUUUCCACUGUGGGGCCAGUGCGAGCCAGCGAGCCUGCGCUUCACUAAAACCCGCCCUUUACACGCCUCUCAGGAACAAUGUCACACAACCCCAUCAUUCACCAACAAAGAGACGUUAUCAGAAAACUAACUAAGAAAUAAGUCAUGGGAACUAGCGCGAUCACAAAACAAACCUGAUAAAAGCGGCCGUUUGUUUGCAUGCUUUGUUAAAUAUUUAAAUCCAAAAGCAUCAAUGUUUUACUAUAAUAAGUGAUACAUAAUUAAUUAAUUUAUCAGGAUUGAAAAUUAGUCACACAGAAAUAAAGCAUUAUGAACAUAGAAGCAGACUCGACUGAAUAAGAAGGCUGUUUAUUUGUAGUCACAGUAGCCUAUAUACAGUAGGUGGACAUCCAAAACGUCGUUUCUACCGCCGCUCGUACCGCCGCCGCGGCGUCUGCAAAGUGCAUUUGCAGCUUUUGACCGCUGAGUGGCGCUUUAAUCACAAGUUUUCAAACAAGCGCAUCAAAGCACAUUUUCGCAAAUAGACGUCAGCUUUGCCUCACUGAAGUGUUAUAUUUGACUGCAGUCGGGGAAAAUUAAAGAAAAAAUAUUUAAUAUUCACAGAUGAAAGUUUAGUCCUUAUGAAGAUAUGUGCGUUUCUUAGAACGAAUUCAAGCAGGAUAAAUGUCAAGCCUAUGAGCCUGUGCUUAGAUUUGACACAUUUAAAUAGUGUGCAGUAUUAUUUAUAUAAUAUGAAUUAUGUGUUAUAUUAUUCAAAAGAAAUUGUGGUUUACUUUGCAUCGGAGCAUUAAGAGUGGUAGCCUAUUGUGAGCUAGGCUUGCGUGUUUUAUAAAUUAUUUUCUUUAUUUUAGUAAAACGUGAGGGACUGUAUAAUUUCGCUUCCAUUAUUUAG
ensembl:lncRNA